ensembl:lncRNA
AUUUAAUUGCAUGGGGAUGUCUGGAGUGAGAUGAGCUUACUCCUGGAAGGAGAUGGAUUGUGCAAAAUCAUCCGGCUGUACGACUUGUGGGUAGUGAUGUAUCAAAAACAAGGCAAUCGCAUAUGAAAGAUCACUCUUUCACCACUGCCUGUUAUUGUGCCUGAAUGUGCUGGCCCACUGCUGUGCUGCCAAUCUGAUUUGAAGAAUUUCAACUGCCUCAUUCAACCGCAAUACGUGGUAGGUUCCUCAAUUAUUGGUGUGGAAUUCCUGAAUACCUUGAUUCCAGCUUCCUGUGCUUACAAUCGCAGUUACUGUGCAAAAUUUGCACUCUGCUUUUAAGGACCCCAUAAACAUGGGUGGGCUAGGAUUAAGACUCAUUUGUUGCUGCUUCUGCUACAAAAUCCCCAGAAUGGGAACUGUUCUGAAAUGCUAUCUUGCACACUGCCAGCCAAAGUGAUAUUGUUCUGCAAGUGCCAGGAAUGACGUAUUCCUAUGUACUAGUAAUGGAUUCAGUACAGGAUGUCAUUUCUUGGUAAAGUAUGACAAAAUGUAAACCAACAGAUUUAUGGAUAGUCAGUUAAUCAUUAUAGGACAUGCUAAAUCUUAAAGAAGAUGGCUUUAGGAAGAAGAGGAGAGAGAAUAGAUUUUUGACCCACUGGCAGUUACGCUUAUUACUCUCCGACGUCCGGAUUCUGUGUCUUCCAGCUAGAGAUGAAGGCCGUAUGGGCUGAGGGAAACCUUGCAAACUAUUGUAAGGAAAGAUUUAAGUAAAUGUAAAAACACAUUUAAAAAUUAAUUUUUGCUGCCUUUUUUCCUGCAUGCUUUGUCUCUUGGGGUGCAGGAAAAAUAUUUUGCUUUGUAUAAGCUGCUUUUGAGUCAUUUUGCGCUCAUUUUGAGUCACUAUCAAUGUGCUCGCUGUUGAAGGGUUUAGGCUGCAAAAUUUAAUUUAAUGUCUUAUAUGGAAGAUGACGGAAGAACAAGGAAGAACAGGGAUAUGUUUUUGAAGUGGUGGUGCUGCAUUUGCCAGAAUUACAGCAGAGGAGACAAAGUCUCACUGUGGGUGAAAGGACCAAAAAUCAUCUCUCGUACAGCUGAAUCUAUAAAGAUUGUAAGUGCUUUGGUCCAGGGAAAGUCUCUCGUCUCCAGUUAA